rfam:Oceanicaulis alexandrii HTCC2633 scf_1099451005985 genomic scaffold, whole genome shotgun sequence.
CUGAGAGGACGACCUCCCCGCACUCGGGAUCAGCAUUCGGGACGGCCCGA